UUAAUUGAAACCAAAGAAGAGGUAAAUCACUGUUAAUGAUGUAAUUGAAAUUAUUUUCCAAUUAAG
rnacentral:tRNA from 1 species